UCUCCAUAGGGAAUGGAAGUGCUGCUGGCCACUGAACAGUCCCAAGCCCACAAAUGCUCACCACAAACGUUACUAUUUAAAUCCAGAAGAGAAGGCAGGUGCUUCUUGAUAAAACCAGGGCAGAGUUACAUGGUGUGGAGGAAAAGGGUGGGCUUGAGUUUCUGGCAAGCUCCAUAUGUAAGGGUUAAAAUCACCUGAGGUGAGGGACUCUAAGAGGCGCAGUGCUCAAACCUCCACUUGUACUGACUGUGUGACCUUGAGCAAGUGAUUUCAGCUCUCUGAGCUUCCGAGCUCUGAAGGCCCAGUUAGAUGAUACACCUAGAACACGCCUGGAACGAGAGCGGGUACAUGGCAAACACUAAGGAAGAUCUAGCUACGGUGAUUGCAGUGUCUUCUGUUUAGAGAAGAGGACUGGCUUCUCCUGCACCUGAGGCCUGGAGGGUAAAGCAGAGGAGCAGAAGCAAUAAACAUGGGGUCUUUCAAAAAUUGGCUCAAUUGUCAUCUACAUUUUACAGAGGAGAAAAAAAGGCUCAGAGAUAUAACAUGACUUUCCCAAGGCCACAGGCCUUGAAAGUACAAAUUGGAUCAUCCUUAUCGACACCUUCCUGUGGCAAUCAGAAUAAAACAUCGAUGUCGGACCAGGACCUAAGUGUGAUACGAGUCCUGCUAACAUCUCUGACGACAUUUUUUUUUUUGAGACAGAGUCUCCCUCUGUUGCCCAGUUUGGAGUGCAAUGGUGUGAUCUCGGUUUACUGCAACCUCCAUCUCCUGGGUUCAAGCAAUUCUCCUGCCUCAGCCUCCCAAGUAGCUGGGAUUACAGGCACCCACCACCACACCUGGCUAAUUUUUUGUAUUCUUAGUAGAGACGGGGUUUCCCCAUGUUGGCCAGUCUGGUCUUGAACUCUCGACCUCAGAUGAUUCGCCUGCCUCGGCCUCCCAAAGUGCUGGGAUUACAGGUGUGAGCCACUGCACCUGGCCAUCUCUGACUACAUCUUAAAACUCUCUCUCUCUCACCCAGAAUGUUCCAGUCACAAAAUCAUUUUUAGUUCCUCAAAUACAGUUUCAUUUCCAACUUGGGGCUUUUAGAUAUGCUGUUUCUCUGCCUACCAGAGUGAUCCAUCUGGAUCCUUUGGUCAAACUUUAGCUCAAAUGACGUCUCCUCCAACAAGCCUUCUUUGACUGCACACUCUGCAAUGGGCCCUCCCACAGCUAUCUAGGACAGUCACUCAUCUUUCAUCACUGACCAUGGUUAGUGUAAAUGGGAGUGUCCUCUCAUCCAUUGUCCAUCUUCCCACUUCAGCUAUAGCUCCAUGAGAGUAAUUUGAGCCCCCCAUGAAAUGUUCCUAUGACUCACUGACAAUUAGGUAUGGUCCAAAUAGAGCCUUUCUUUCACACAGAGAUGUCAACCCCAGCAUGGCCCCCUCACAGCUCCUCCUGAAGGGGAAGCCUUAAGUGAGCCACGUGACAGCACAGUUGAUUCAAUACUGCAUGGCAUCAGACCUACCCAGGACCCCAGGCACAGCUGUCGGGACCUGAGAUGGACAGCAGGCCUAGGAAUCCACAGACCAACCAGCAACCCGAGAUGUGUCAGGAAGGGAUGAGCUGGGCUAAUCCUAUUCCUCCUUGGGGAGUUUCCAGUGAGAACCGAAAUGGAAAGGAUAUCACAUGCUGGAGUCAGGGCUGUGGUGGACCAUCUGCUCGUGGAGAUUUGAGGGAGCAGAACUCAUGAGAAGGCAGAGGCCCCAGUUAAUGAAACUGGAACAGAGUGCACAAGAGCAGAGAGAAACAGAACUGCCACAGAGACACAUAGAGCCUCCGGCUCCAGGGCUGUCUCAGUUCCUGCCUGAACCCCAAUUCCAGUUCCCAUCAAGGGAGUUCCUUCAGUGAGUCUCCCUUUCCAGGAGGUAACUAACAGUUACUUGCAUCAAAAAGAGCCAAACUGAAGCAGUCUCCAAACCAAAGUUACAUACCAAAAAAGUGUUUGAGCUUGUGGUGGGAGGGUGGGGAUGACAAUCUCCUACGAACACGAAAAUAUGAAACAAUUUUUUUCUAGCACAAUUUGUGGGGCAAUCAGUAUAUUUUAAGCAUAUCAGUCAUGACUCUUCCCAUUACAGGAGACAGCACUGGCUUCAGGAACUGAUGGAUCCAGGUGCUCACGUGUGUCUUCCGUCACCCCUCUGCCUCAGCUUCUCAGAAAGCCUUUCACAUUUAGUGGACCCAGUAGCCCACCAGCAGAAAAGAAGCUGUCUUCCCCAACAGAUUCACAAAAGUCCUAGGAUUGCAGAACAUUAGACAACUUGAACUUUGGUCUGAUGAGAACACUCUGAUUCAUCAAAGCUAGAUUAUGUGACCACCCCUAACAUGUGGGUGGGAAGUGGGGAGAGAAGAGAGGAGGUAGUCUCCUCAAACACUUUAAGAGUGGAGUUGAGGUGAUUUCCCCAAAGGAAAAAUUGGGGUGCUGUCACCAAAAGAAGAGAGGAUGGAUAAUGAGCAGGCAAAAACCCCAAAUGUUCCCCUAUGGGAGUAAAAUCCACUUGAGGCAUAGGCCACUUGGGGAGAAGACCCGUAAGCUCCUUCUCCAGGAGGGUUAUCUGAUUAUAAGAGGAGGCUGGUAACCACUGAGUCUGCACGAAAGCUUUUCCUAGGCCUGGUCCUUGGGGCUACAGCUUUAUUCUAGGGCAUGUUUAUUUGAGGAACAUGGGCUCCUUGAGAAGCACUGGAAACAAGGGGACAGAAUGGCUUCUAAAUAAAACAAAUCCUAGCCUGGAAGUUCUGAUCUCUACUCUGCCACCUACCAACUGGGCUGACCUUGGGCAAAUCCUCUCACUUCUCUGAGCCUUAGCCUCCUAAUCUGUGAGAUGUCAGUAAUAGUACCUACCUUGCAUGUUCGCCACAGAGAUUCAAUUAAUUUAAAUAGGUAGAGGACUUGGGGCAGUGCCUAGGACAACAUUACACUCAGGGAUGGUG
rnacentral:lncRNA from 10 species